rnacentral:tRNA from 1 species
GUCACUUUAGCUUAGUGGCAGGGCGUCUGCUUUGUAAGCUUAAGGUCGUCAGUUCAUCCUGACAAGUGGCU